rnacentral:rRNA from 1 species
GAUGAACGCUGGCGGCGUGCCUAAUACAUGCAAGUCGAGCGAAUGGAUUAAGAGCUUGCUCUUAUGAAGUUAGCGGCGGACGGGUGAGUAACACGUGGGUAACCUGCCCACAAGACUGGGAUAACUCCGGGAAGCCGGGGCUAAUACCGGAUAACAUUUUGAACCGCAUGGUUCGAAAUUGAAAGGCGGCUUCGGCUGUCACUUAUGGAUGGACCCGCGUCGCAUUAGCUAGUUGGUGAGGUAACGGCUCACCAAGGCAACGAUGCGUAGCCGACCUGGGAGGGUGAUCGGCCACACUGGGACUGAGACACGGCCCAGACUCCUACGGGAGGCAGCAGUAGGGAAUCUUCCGCAAUGGACGAAAGUCUGACGGAGCAACGCCGCGUGAGUGAUGAAGGCUUUCGGGUCGUAAAACUCUGUUGUUAGGGAAGAACAAGUGCUAGUUGAAUAAGCUGGCACCUUGACGGUACCUAACCAGAAAGCCACGGCUAACUACGUGCCAGCCGCCGCGGUAA